GUCACUAAUGUAAUGGGUUGCACGUUGGACUUCUAAUCCAAAGAUCGUGGGUUCGAAUCCCACCUGGGAUG
rnacentral:tRNA from 1 species